UGGAAUGUAGCUCAGUGGUAGAGCAGCGGCCUUGUAAGCUGUGUGUCGCAGGUUCGAUUCCUGUCUUUCCGA
rnacentral:tRNA from 1 species